UGCAAGUCGAACGGCAGCGGGGGCUUCGGCCCGCCGGCGAGUGGCGAACGGGUGAGUAAUGCAUCGGAACGUACCCAGUCGUGGGGGAUAACUACGCGAAAGCGUAGCUAAUACCGCAUACGCCCUGAGGGGGAAAGCGGGGGACCUUCGGGCCUCGCGCGAUUGGAGCGGCUGAUGUCGGAUUAGCUAGUUGGUGGGGUAAAGGCCUACCAAGGCGACGAUCCGUAGCUGGUCUGAGAGGAUGAUCAGCCACACUGGGACUGAGACACGGCCCAGACUCCUACGGGAGGCAGCAGUGGGGAAUUUUGGACAAUGGGCGCAAGCCUGAUCCAGCCAUGCCGCGUGAGUGAAGAAGGCCUUCGGGUUGUAAAGCUCUUUCAGACGGAAAGAAAUCGGGCGCGUGAAUAGCGUGCCUGGAUGACGGUACUGUCAGAAGAAGCACCGGCUAACUACGUGCCAGCAGCCGCGGUAAUACGUAGGGUGCGAGCGUUAAUCGGAAUUACUGGGCGUAAAGCGUGCGCAGGCGGUUGUGUAAGACAGGUGUGAAAUCCCCGGGCUUAACCUGGGAACUGCGCUUGUGACUGCACGGCUAGAGUACGGCAGAGGGGGGGUGGAAUU
rnacentral:rRNA from 1 species